rnacentral:rRNA from 1 species
UACGGAGGGUGCAAGCGUUGUCCGGAUUUAUUGGGUUUAAAGGGUGCGUAGGCGGCCUGUUAAGUCAGUGGUGAAAUCCUGCAGCUCAACUGUAGAAUUGCCAUUGAUACUGACGGGCUUGAAUUCAGGCGAGGUAGGCGGAAUUGACGGUGUAGCGGUGAAAUGCAUAGAUAUCGUCAAGAACACCGAUUGCGAAGGCAGCUUACUAGACUGACAUUGACGCUGAGGCACGAAAGUGUGGGGAUCAAACAGG